AUACUGAGGGUGCAAGCGUUAAUCGGAAUUACUGGGCGUAAAGCGCACGUAGGCGGUUUAUUAAGUCAGAUGUGAAAGCCCUGGGCUUAACCUGGGAACUGCAUUUGAGACUGGUAGGCUAGAGUAUGGUAGAGGAUAGUGGAAUUCCGGGUGUAGCGGUGAAAUGCGUAGAUAUCCGGAGGAACAUCAGUGGCGAAGGCGGCUAUCUGGACCAAUACUGACGCUGAGGUGCGAAAGCGUGGGGAGCAAACAGGAUUAGAAACCCUUGUAGUCC
rnacentral:rRNA from 1 species